CCUACGGGUGGCAGCAGUGGGGAAUAUUGCACAAUGGGGGGAACCCUGAUGCAGCAAUGCCGCGUGAAGGAUGACGGUUUUCGGAUUGUAAACUUCUUUUGUACGGGACGUAGAAAGUGACGGUACCGUCAGAAUAAGCCACGUCUAACUACGUGCCAGCAGCCGCGGUAAUACGUAGGUGGCAAGCGUUCUCCGGAUUUACUGGGUGUAAAGGGCGAGUAGGCGGGAUUGCAAGUCAGAUGUGAAAACUAUGGGCUCAACCGAUAGAGUGCAUUUGACACUGCGGGUCUUGAGUUAUGGAGAGGCAGGCGGAAUGCGUGGUGUAGCGGUGGAAUGCGUAGAUAUCAGGAGGAACACCGAUGGCGAAGGCAGCCUGCUGGACAGUAACUGACGCUGAGGCGCGAAAGCGUGGGGAGCAAACAGGAUUAGAUACCCGUGUAGUC
rnacentral:rRNA from 1 species